rnacentral:rRNA from 1 species
GACGAACGCUGGCGGCGUGCUUAACACAUGCAAGUCGAACGGAAAGGCCCUGCUUUUGUGGGGUGCUCGAGUGGCGAACGGGUGAGUAACACGUGAGUAACCUGCCCUUGACUUUGGGAUAACUUCAGGAAACUGGGGCUAAUACCGGAUAGGAGCUCCUGCUGCAUGGUGGGGGUUGGAAAGUUUCGGCGGUUGGGGAUGGACUCGCGGCUUAUCAGCUUGUUGGUGGGGUAGUGGCUUACCAAGGCUUUGACGGGUAGCCGGCCUGAGAGGGUGACCGGCCACAUGGGGACUGAGAUACGGCCCAGACUCCUACGGGAGGCAGCAGUGGGGAAUAUUGCACAAUGGGCGGAAGCCUGAUGCAGCAACGCCGCGUGCGGGAUGACGGCCUUCGGGUGGUAAACCGCUUUCGCCUGUGACGAAGCGUGAGUGACGGGAAUGGGGAAAGAAGCACCGGCGAACUACGU